GGGGAAUAUUGGACAAUGGGCGCAAGCCUGAUCCAGCAAUGCCGCGUGGGUGAAGACGGCCUGCGGGUUGUAAAGCCCUUUAGGCGGGGAGGAACGGCGGGGUGCCAAGACCACCUCGCGCUGACGUUACCCGUGGAAUAAGCACCGGCUAACUCCGUGCCAGCAGCCGCGGUAAUACGGAGGGUGCGAGCGUUAAUCGGAAUUACUGGGCGUAAAGCGUGCGUAGGCGGUUUCGUCAGUCAGCCGUGAAAGCCCCGGGCUCAACCUGGGAAUGGCGGUUGAGACGGCGUGACUGGAGUGGGCUAGAGGAUCGUGGAAUUCCGGGUGUAGCGGUGAAAUGCGUAGAGAUCCGGAGGAACACCGAUGGCGAAGGCAGCGGUCUGGGGCCACACUGACGCUGAGGCACGAAAGCGUGGGGAGCAAAC
rnacentral:rRNA from 1 species